AAUUUUGGACAAUGGGGGGAACCCUGAUCCAGCCAUCCCGCGUGUGCGAUGAAGGCCUUCGGGUUGUAAAGCACUGUUGGCAGGGCCGAAAAGGCUCUGGUUAAUACCCGGAGCUGCUGACGGUACCUGCAGAAUAAGCACCGGCUAACUACGUGCCAGAAGCCGCGGUAAUACGUAGGGUGCAAGCGUUAAUCGGAAUUACUGGGCGUAAAGCGUGCGCAGGCGGUUUGGCAAGAAGGAUGUGAAAUACCAGGGCUUAACCUUGGAACUGCAUUCUUAGCUGCCAGGCUAGUGUAUGUCAGAGGGGGAUAGAAUUCCGCGUGUAGCAGUGAAAUGCGUAGAGAUGCGGAGGAAUACCGAUGGCGAAGGCAGCCCCCUGGGAUAAUACUGACGCUCAUGCACGAAAGCGUGGGGAGCAAAC
rnacentral:rRNA from 1 species